rnacentral:rRNA from 1 species
CACGUAGGGUGCGAGCGUUGUCCGGAAUUAUUGGGCGUAAAGAGCUUGUAGGCGGUUUGUCGCGUCUGCCGUGAAAAUUCGAGGCUCAACCUCGAACUUGCGGUGGGUACGGGCAGACUAGAGUGUGGUAGGGGAGACUGGAAUUCCUGGUGUAGCGGUGAAAUGCGCAGAUAUCAGGAGGAACACCGAUGGCGAAGGCAGGUCUCUGGGCCACUACUGACGCUGAGAAGCGAAAGCAUGGGGGAGCGAACAGG